ensembl:misc_RNA Metazoa_SRP Metazoan signal recognition particle RNA
GCUGGACAUGGUGGCGCAUGCCUGUAAUCCCAGCUACUUGGGAGGCUGAGGCAGGAGAAUCGCUUGAACCUAGGAGGCGGAGGUUGCAGUGAGCCGAGAUCAUGUCACUGCACUCCAGCCUGGGCAAUAGAGUGAGACUCUGUCUCAA